AGGACAAGAGUAGAGGUUACAAUUUAGCAUUGAGAGAACAAAAUCGCACGAAAGGGAAGAAUAGAAGUGAAACUUUUCCUAACUCUGUAGCCUCUAGGGAUAAAUACAGACGUCUCUGUACUGAUCCCUCAGACUCUACUAAGCUUGUCUGUGAACUGUAAGAUCCAUGUAACCUAGGGCUCUGAUACCAACUUGUCACGACCCGGAUUUUCCAUCCUCGGGAGUCGUGAUGGCGCCUACUAAUGUGAGCUAGGGAAGCCAAUUAUGUGAACAAUUUACCUUUUGUACCCAUUUUAUAUUCAUUAACAAUUGCGAAGUAAUAACAUUUAAACAACAGAAUUUACAUAAGCGAAAGUAAAAAAAAAGCAAUAAGCUAGCUGAACAUGAAUCCAAUACAACUAUUUGAGUUUCGACAACCCAGAACUGGUGUCAAAGUUUCACAGACGGUCUAAGAAUACUACAAUUAAAGGUCUGAAAGAAAUAAAUACAACACUGUCUCUAGAAAUGCAUUAAAGAAAUAGGAAUAGUAGAUAGAAGGAGAUGCCAAGGCCUGCGGACGCCUGAAGGACUACCUCAGGUCGCCUGAUGAGCAAGAAUCAUCAAUCCCACUGCGGUCCAAAGUCUACAACACUAGGGUCUACACAAAAGAGUGCAGAGUGUAGUAUCAGCACAACUGACCUAUGUUCUGGUAAGUGCCUAGCCUAACCUCGGCGAAGUAGUGACGAGGCUAGGACCAGACUACCAAAUAAACCUGUGCAAUUUAACUAUAUACAACAGAAAAGAAGUACAGAAAGAAACAGUCAUAUAAAGUCAAGUAUAGGAGGGGGAAAACAUGCUGCGGGGAAACACCGAAUAGUAACAGAAGAGCAACAAAUAAAUAUGAGGAUCACCACAGUUCAAUUGAAAAUAGGAAGGGGAGAUCAUGCAGCGGGGUGCAACAAGUAUCAACAGGAAACCAACAAUUUAGUGUAGAGAAAUCGUAACACAUUUAUCAAUAAAAAUUAGGAAAUCAAAGACAAGUGCAUGGCAUCACCGUUUGUGCUUUUACUAUCUCUCACCAAAACAAUACACGACAUCACCUUUCGUGCUUUAACACUCUCACCAAAACAAUACACGGCAUCACCCUUCGUGCUUUAAACUCUUCCUCACCUAAACAACAAUCACAAGGCAAAUAGGGUAAGGGAAUCUAUAACCUCGAAAUAAAAUCAAAUAACAAUAGAAAAUCAUAAAAUAAACGUAAAGGACAACAUAACUCAAUUAUCAGCAAGAAUCAGGAAAAUCAAGGACAAGUGCACGGCACCACCCUUCGUGCUUUUACUCUCGUCCUUACCACAAGAAUCAAUACAAUAGGCAUGGAAUUGUACAUCGUGCGGCACGGCAUCACCCUUCGUGCUUUACACUCUUUCCUCACCAUAAAAUCAAUAUAAUAGGCACGGAAUGGUACAUCGUGCGGCACGACAUCACCCUUCGUGCUUUACACUCUUUCCUCACAAAACAAACAAUGCACGGCAUCACCCUUCGUGCUUUAACUCUUUUCCUCACCCAAACAACAAUCACAAACAAUAUGGCAAGGCAAUAAAGUAAAUUUUCAAUAAGAAUUCCGGCAAGGGAGCAACAAGUCAACAAUUAAAUCCUGGCAAGGGAACAACAUCAAUAACAUCCACAUCCCGGCAAGGGAGAUAACAAAUACAUCAACAAUAGCCCGACAAGGGUGACAACAUAAUGAUCUCUUCUCUUUCUCACUUUUACUUGACAAUUCACUUCACAACUCGAGCCAAUGCUCUAGAGGUUCAAUUAUCACUUAUAACUUCACAACUCAUUUCAUAACUCGAGCCAAUGCUCUAAAAGUUCAAUUGUCACUUAUACUUUCACAAUUCGUUAUACAACUUGAGUCAAUGAUCCUCAAUGUUCAUAGGUCACAAUUCAUUCCACAAACUUUAUACAACAAUUAGAAACCAUCACCAAGGCAUGAAAGAUACAAUGAAGCCAUGAUAAUCACAAUAUAAAGACUCACAGGCAUGAUAGACCCCAACAUAUAGAUACUCGUCACCAUGUCUAUACGUCGUACUCAACAAUUACCACAUAGCAAAUAAGACUCAACUCCUAAUCUCUCAAGCUAAGGUUAGACCAAACACUAACCACGAUGCAACAAACACAAUUCAUGAUUCAAUUAUAGCUUUACCUCUUGAUUCCACCACCAAUUUGCUCGUAUCCAGUCACAAGUUACUUAAUUACAUCAAGAAACGCCAAAUGAAUCAGUUUGAAUGCAUAAAAAUGAGUUUUCUAAAGUUUUGCCCAGAAAGUCAAAAAUUGCCCCCGGACCCACAUGGUCAAAACCCGAGGUUCGAACCAAAACCCAACCCAUUCCCCCACGAACCUAAAUAUAUAAUUUAUUUUGAAAUCGAACCUUAAAUCGAGGUCCAAAUCACCAAUUUUUGAAAAACCUAGGUUCUACCCAAAACGCCCAAUUUCCCCCAUGAAAAUCAUUGAUUUUAAGUUGAAAUCAUGUUAAAAGAUGUUAAUGAUUGAAGAAAAUGGGUUAAAAUUAACUUACAAUCGAUUUGAAAGAAGAGUUGUUCUUGGAAAAUCGCCCUAAGGAGUUUGUGUUUUGAAAAGAUGUAAAAAAUAAAUUUAAAUUCGUCUAAGUAUAAAAGUUAUAGGUCUCAGACAUGAGAAUUGCGAACAAGGGUUCGUAAUUGCGAACCCCGACCUCUGCUGGCUUGGGAAUUGCGAAGGGAGUUUGAAAAAUGCGAACUGGGAAUUGCAAAGGGAGUUUGGGAAUUGCGAACUGGGAAUUGCGAAGGGAGUUUGGGAAAUGCGAACUGGGAAUUGAGAAGGGAGGUUGGGAAAUGCGAACUGGGAAUUGUGAAGGGAGGUUGAGAAAUGCGAAGCCUGCAGGCUUGCAAUUUCUUAAGUCCAAAAUUUCACCCCGUGGUCUCCAAAACUCACCCGAGCCCUCGGGGCUCCAAACCAAACAUGUACACCACCCUAAAAAUAUCAUACGGACUCACUCGUGCAUUCAAAUCACUAAAAUAACAUCAACAACUAUGAAUUUAGCAUCAAAAUUAUGAAGCUUUUCUCAAGACUUCAAAUUUCCAAUUUUCUCAAUAACUAUCUGAUUCACGUCGUUUCAAGUCCGUUUUUUACCAAAUUUCAUAGAAUUAUCUUAAAUCAUAAAUAAGACAUGUACCGAGCACCGGAACCAAAAUGCGGGCACGAUACCAACAUGUUCUAAUCAAAAUUCAUUUCCAAACUUUAUAGACAAUUUGAGAAAAUAAUUUUCUUCAAAAAUUUAAUUUCUCGGGCUUGGGACCUCGGAAUUCGAUUUUGAGCAUACGCCCAAGUCCCAUAUUUUUCUUACGGGUCCGGGUCUGUUUAUCCAAAACGUUGACCAAAGUCAAAUUAAUUCAUUUUAUAGUCAAAAUUUAUCAUUUUUCAUAGAUUUUCACAUUUAGGCUUUCCGGCUAUGCGCCUGGACUGCACAUGUAAAACGAGGUGAUGCUAAGAGAGGUUUUUAAGGUCUCGGAACAUAGAAUUUUAUCACAAAGGAUUAUAUAUAUUUAUGGAUCGGGAUGCACGCCUCAGCGAUAUAUAUAUAUAUAUGGAUCGGGCUGCACGUCGCAGCGAUAUGUUGGAUCGAGCUCCGCACCGCAACGAUAUAGCCCUUGGGCUGUAAGAGCCUCUCCGGAGUCUGUACAUCCCCAGUGAGCGUAGUCGACUAUAUAUAUUUAUGGAUCGGGCUGCACGCCACAACAGUUAUUAUUAUGAGAUAUCUAUUGAGCGGGAGUGCUGAGUGUGAGUACCGAUUAACGAGAAUUGAGUCGCGAGUGACUGAGAGGCUUGCCCGAGGGGCUAUUCUUAUAAGUGAUACUUUGCUCGAGGGGCUUGUUUAUGAAAUUACUAUUUUCGCUCUUCUUUUUAUAUUGAACCUCUAUUGAAAAAUAUUGAAUAAAUUCUUUAAAGAACUUUCAUUGAAACUAGAGUUAUUACGAGAUAUUCGGUUAUUGAACUAUAGAUUUUGACUUUGAUAUUUCUUUUGAGAUUCUUUGAUAGAGUAUGUAUAUGAUUUUAAAUGCUCGUCACUGCACUCAGCCUUUAUUUACUUUGGUUACUUACUAAGUUGGCGUACUCACGUUACUCCCUGUACCUUCUGUGCAGAUCCAGGUGACAGAGCCUCCGAGUGAGAGCUGAUCGUUGCCUUAAGAGUAUUAGCCUCCGAGUGCCCUGCCUUUCUCCUUCCUGACCUUAGUAUUAUAUAUUUCAAUCUUAUCUUGUAUUAAGCAGACAGUAUUGGGUUGUGUUUAGUGGCUCAUGACUAGUGACACCGGGAUCGAGCUGGGUUGAUGUACUUUCGUAUUUGUUUUUCCACGUAUUUUGAUAUAUAUUAAAAUGAAAGAUCUGAGAUUAUAUCUUAUUAGAAAAUAAAUUUACAAAAGACCUUUAUAUUGUUCGUGUUAAUUCGGCUGGCCUAGUACUGUGACAGGUGCCAUCACGACCGGGGUGUUUGGGGUCGUGACAAUUAAUAGCCUUGGUAUUACUAAUAUCAUGAUUUUCUACGCAUUACUUAUGCAUAGGAUAAUACCAAGUAUGAUGUAUAACUAAUAUAAGUAUUAGUUAUAUACAGGUUGAAAAAAUAUAUCAAACAAAAUAUUAGUAAUGUAUUAUUCUAAUGCUUGCAUUAUUUUUUCUAAUACCUCUUACCAAACGACUCCUAAGUGUCCUAAUAAUAAUCUCAUCCAAUUAGAAACGUCAUAGGUAAAAUUGUGCGCAACUCUUUUAAUGUUCUACACCAUCACAAGACUAAUUGCACAACGUAACAUACACUCCAUAUGUUCUCAACUUCUCAUAGCCAAAUCGCCUUAUGAGAUGCCAUACUCUCACCAAAAUCAAAUAAACAUGACAUGGCUUAUGCGACAUAUAGCGUGUUUGGCCAAGCAUUUCCGGCCUUCAAAGUUAAAGUGUUUGGCCAAGCUUUUAGAAGGAAAAAAAUGAUUUUCAGUAUAAGCAGAAGUAGUUUUGGAGAAGCAGAACAAAGUAACUUCUCCACAAAAGCACUUUUUUGAAAAGCAUUUUUGAGAAAAAUACACUUAGAAGUAAUUUUUAAAAGCUUGGCCAAACACUAAUUGCUGCCCAAAAGUGCUUUUCAAAUAUCAGAAUUUCAAAAAUAAAAUCUUGAUAUUUUUUUUUGAGUUUCUUUAAUAUGUGUAUUAGCAAUGCAAGAAUUAAAUUACUUAAAGGGAAAGAUGCCCAUUAAAAUAAGUAAUUUAUAUAUACAAUCCGUUCAUCAUUACUCAAUGCAUAACAAUUCUUUUAUUUUUAAUCCCCGCAUAAACAAUCUUUGCAUUAUAUUUUUCCCCCUUAACUCGUAAGCCAACACAACAACUCCUAAGUUUCUUAAUAAUAAUCUUAUCCAAUUAGAAACGUCAUAGGUAAACUUAACUAGCGUGUCAUCAAUGUAAACUUUCAUAGAUUGGCCUAUUUGAUAUUCGAACAUCUUAUUAACUAGGCGUUGGUACAUAUCUCUUGCGUUUUUUAGCCUAAAAGGCAUUACAUUAUAACAAUAUAUACAAUACUUCGUGAUGAGCGAAGUUUCUUCCCUAUCCUCUAGGUUCAUUUGAAUUUGAUUAUACCCGGAGUAGGCGUCGAGCAAAGUGACUCGAUUCUUUUAGUCAAUUCCUCGAGCAUUUUCAUGAUUGUAGCUAGGGUCAGUCCCCGAGCCACUUUCAUCGGGUGUUUCUAGCACUGGUUCGUACUGCAUGUUUAUUGGCUCAGCGGUGUUAAGGGUUCUGUUCUGACUUUGAAAUUGAGCGAUGGCGACUUGCUGAGCUUACAACAUCUCGAAUAUCACUUGGAGGCUGACUCCUCCUUCUUCCAUUCCUCAUGCUUUUUGGCCUCCAACGUGGGCUUCACUACGUGUAUUCCUUAUGGGACCUGCGCUGCUUUCGUGUUUAGAGCGUUGUGGGAGCUGAUAUCAACUGACUCCACGUUUGGCAUUCCCUCAAGGUUUACAGGUGGUACACUAAGCCCUAUGCUACUAUUUUCUCCAAGUCCCUCACUGUCGUGAAAAGGUGCAUUUUGUGUCCUAGACAUGAUUAAGUCUGAAAUCAAAGAAUUUCUGACAAGUAAAAGUGUGAAGAAUAACGUGUGUUAUCAGAAAACUAGCACCAAAACAAUCACUAUUAUUUUUAUCCCCACGAUGGGCGCCAAACUAUUUACCUUUAAAAAUGGUAAUAACAAUUAUAUUUGAGUUGUGGCUCUAAAAAUAUGUGAUUUAUUUCAAUACUAGUUAUUAGGAAAUAGAUGCUAAGUGUAAGUAAAGAGAAUAAGAUAUGCAAACUAAUGUUGUCUCAAGACUGAUCCUCGAGCUGGCUGGAAUAGGGGCUUCGAGGUCCGGUUAGGAUAGCCAGUAAUGGAUGAUUGAUGAAGGAACAACGAUAAUGAAGGCCUCAAAGGUAGCCUUUUGUUGUUAAUAAUGGGCAAUAAAUGAAGAACAAUAAAUGAACAAGCAAUAAAUCUGUAGAAUAAUUGUUGAACACGUUUAGGCGAGAAGAGCAGAGAAUGUUGUAUUGUAUUCAAUAUCCAUCUGUAUUACAAACUGACAAGGGUCCCCUUUAUAUAGGAGAAGGAAAUCAUAACAUAGUACAUGUCUAAUAACAAUGAGGAAAUGCUAUUGGUACAGCUGUAAAAUGGCUUAGAGCCUGUUUGGAUUGGCUUAAAAGAUGGUCAAACCAGCUUUUAAGCCAUUUUUAGAUGUUAGGAGUGUUUGGCAAAAAAGAAAACAACUUAAAAAAUGUUAAAAUUGGCUUAAAAAAAGCCAAAAGCCACAAGUUGGUUGAUCCCAACUUUUUUCUUUUAGCUUAAAAGCCAACUAUUUUUGACCAAGUAUUUUACCCUCUUAUCCCUAAUAAUAUUUAUUAUUCCAGAAAUGUCCUUCACAACAAAAUCUCAAUUGAACUCUAUUCUUUCCCGUUCUCUAUUCCUAUAACUUCCUCCCUUGUAUUUCUUCAUUUUGCUCUUUUUCUUUCUGGUUCUUCUUCGGUUGGUAACACUUGAUUUGAUUCACAUUUUGACUUUUUGCUUCAUUUUUUUUCCACCGCCACUUAUCUAGAUGGGAUUAUCUAAAGUAUUUCCCAAUUAUUUUCGUUUCAUUUCAUACUAUUUUUUUAUAUCAAUAAUCAUGCAAUUCAUAUGUUUCGCCAGUAAGCUUGGAAUUUCAAGCUUAGGUGCUCCGAGCCCAUCGAGGCCGGGCCUGAAACGCAGCCUUAAAAUCGGCCCUUAAAAUCGGCCUUCCUUGAUUUUGACCGUAUACAAUUUCGAAAGUGAAUCACUGUGUCAUGUAUUAUUAAAGUAUAUACUAUAUGAAUUAGAUAUCCCAAAAGCAUACAACGUACAUACUUACUUGAUAUUUUGUAAAAUAAAAUUUCCAAAUAAAUAAAUUGUAGUAAUAUUUUUAUUAAAAUUAAUUUUUACUGAUACUUACCUUUUACCGCAUGAAUUUUUCUUUCAAGAUAAUGACUUCAACCUUCUCAAACUUUGACCAGCUAGGGGAACACUGGGACCCAUCUAGCAUCGAUGCUUAAUGAACAACCUAAUUCUUCGGUUGGCUAGAGUUCCAUAAAGUGACCACUUUUCUGCCAUCGCUUUCAACGUUUUCUUUUACAUUUUUCCAUUCUUUUUCAUCAGUGGGAGGAUUUCAAUUACAACUUUUCACCUAAAGAUGAAUCCCAAUUUUGUGCCGAAAACUAGUUCUCUCUUAUUAUUACUUUGAUUUCUCUACGUCUAAACCAGUGUGUUAAAAGGCUUUUUGGGACUCGUCCAAGGUUCACUCUUAGAAGAUGUACUUGCAAAAUAUCUUGAGGCUCAUAUGUGAAACUUAAUUUUGCUUAAAGCUUACGCUUUAAGCAACGGCGGUUCAGGACUCCUAAUGGUUCUUAUGCAAAUAAUAUGUCAAUUCUCUAAAUACCGUUGUGGAUCCUCAAAAUUCUUUAACAAAUAAUAAAUUUCUAUUAUCUAAAGGAAUAUGAAAAUUGAGAGUAUCUCAAAUAUGGAAUAAUAAUAUUGUAUAUAUACCAAUUGAGAAUAUCAUGAGGGUGAAAAUCACUUGAACAUUUCUUCUGAAAAUAGAUAGCCAAAAUCACUUGCUAUUGAUCUUCAUGCCUUAGUUUCUAUAUUUUUCAAAAUUAUCAUACUUUUACAAUUUUGCUAUUUAAAAAAUAUUUUGCAUUUAUCCAUAAAAGGGUAAUAUUUUAAAUUAUACUACUGAUAAAGCUUAUGCGUUAUUUAUUUUUAGGAAGGUAAAAUGUGUAGUUUGAUAAUAUUUUUUUAAAAAUUUUUAAAUUUUUACUCUUUUGAAAGUUAAGACAUUAUACUUGUAAAAUCAUACAAGAUAUUUUAUUUUUUAUGAGUUUCUUCAAUAUGUGUAUUAGCAAUGAGAGAAUUAAAUUAAUUAAAGGAAAAGAUGCCCAUUUAAAAUAAGUAAUUUACGUAUACAAUCCAUUCAUUAUUACUCAAUGCAUAACAAUUCUUUUAUUUUUAAUAACCACAUAAACAAUCUUUGGAUUAUAUUUCCCCCCCUUAACUCGUAAGCCAAGUGUCUUAAUAAUCUCAUCCAAUAGAAACGCCAUAGCUAAAAUUGUGCGCAACUCUUUUAAUGUUCUACACAAUCAAAAGUAGGGAUGACAAUGGAGCGAUGCAGGUGCGGAGCGAGGCAGGUUUGAUCUUAUGCGGGUCGGACGAGUUUUGAUUUUAUGCGGGGCGGGGCGAGUUUUGAUCUUAUGCGGGGCGGGGCGAGUUUUGAUCUUAUGCGGGUGCGUGACGAGUGCGGGACAGGUUGAAACUAUUUUUUCAAAGACUAACGUGGGACAGGACGGUUGCAGGUUUCCUCACAGCACUUCUCAACCUAUAUAACUUUUUUUAACACAACUUCUAAAUGACUAGCAGCAUUUCAAUCUGUGUUUUGGAAGUUUUGUUUGUCUUUUAAUAUUAUACAGUAAGUAUUUUGAUCCAGCAUCAACAGGGUAAUACUUGAUAUGAUUAAAUUAGUCAAUGUUUGCCAAUAAUAGCUAGUCACCCCACAUUUGACGGAUUUUCAUUAAAACAAGAUAAGCUGUCACAAGUCGUUUCUUCAGAUUCAUUUAGGAAAGCUAAUGGAAAUACGAAAAUCCCAAAAAUACAAUAGUAAUGAACUAGAAAUGCAUGCACAUAUUUAUAAUCCUGAAAAUAGAAAUAUAAUAUUUGGUUCCAUAUGGGGGAUUUAAGAAACUGAAAAAAGUGAAAUAUUAAACUUGUGUUUUUUUAGCAAAAAAGAAAAAAAAAAUUGCGGGGCGGAGCGGGGCAGGGCGAGGCAAGUCUUUGCGAGGCGGGACGGGGCGGGUUGAAAUUAUGCGGGUUAAGCUCCAACCCACCCUGCCCCGCCUCGCCCCGUUGCCAUUCCUAAAUUCACAAUACUAAGUCCAUAACGUAACAUACACACAGCCAAAUCGCCUUAUCGGAUGCCAUACUCUUACCAAAAUCAAAUAUAUUGCUUAUGCCACGUAUAAUAUGUUUGACCAAGCUUCUCUAGCCCCCAAAGCAUUGUUUCUUUUCAAAAAAAGUGUUUAUUUUCAAAGUUGAACUGUUUGGCCAAGCUUUUAGAAGAAUUUUUUUUUAAAAUAGAAGCAGAAGUAAUUUUGGAGAAGCAGAAAAAAGUAGCUUCUCUUUGGAAGCACUCUUUUAAAAAGCACUUUUGAGAAAAAUACACAUAGAAAUACUUUUUUUACAGCUUAGUCAAACACUAAUUGCUGUUCAGAAGUGUUUUUCAAAUUAAUUAGCCAAACACAAAUUGAUUCUCACCAAAAAUAUUUUUGAUAAAAACACAUUUAAGAAAAAUUACUUCUCAAAAUAAGCUGAUUUUAGAAGCUUGGUCAAACAGACUAAUAAUCACCGGGAAAAAAGCAUUUAGCUGAGCUCAAUCAAAAUACUUUGAGAAAACCUCAGGAUAUCAAAAUUAGUUUUUCUUGGAAUUGAGAUUGCGGCGAUAAGAUUUAGGGUUGUUCUCAAAAGCAUAUAAACACUUAUCCACACGGAGUGUUUAUAUUAAAUCAAAUAAUUUAACCUAAUAAUUAAAAACUAAUGUAACAAUACAUAUCACUUUACCAUGUUAAAUGUGGAGAGUAAAUUUUUAUCUGUAAUGCCUUGAUAUCCUUGCAUUAUGCCUACGUCCUGGAGCUUUAUUCACCAUUUUGACAUUUCCUUUUUUGCCUUUGCAGCAGCAACCACAUAGGUAAAAGAAAAUUAGCACCAACCCAACUGAAAUGGUAAAGGCUAUUGGGGAUUGCAUCCAACUUUGCACUAUAUUUGAUCUUUUAAGUGUCUCCUUUGCAUUUUCCACCAUAUUUUCUGCUGAUUUUAAGGUCACUGACUUCAAUUCGUCCAUUCCAAAUUCUAUGUCGCUCUCUCUCUACUUCCCAGCUACGGCACAACUUUUUCUUGGAAGAAAACUAAUGACCUUUUUUCUUUUCUUUGACAGACCACGCGUAGGAUCAACGGUGUUCAUAAGCAAUUUUACACGGUUUGAUAUUAAUUAUCAUAACCACUCCACCUAACUUUGAUGCAACUACCUUAGUUAUUGGC
rnacentral:lncRNA from 1 species